rnacentral:rRNA from 1 species
UACGGGGGGGCAAGCGUUGUUCGGAAUUACUGGGCGUAAAGGGUGUGUAGGCGGUUCUUUAAGUUUGGUGUGAAAUCUCCCGGCUCAACCGGGAGGUGCGCCGAAUACUGAGGGACUCGAGUGCGGGAGAGGAAAGUGGAAUUCCUGGUGUAGCGGUGAAAUGCGUAGAUAUCAGGAGGAACACCGGUGUGUAGACGGCUUCUGGACCGUAACUGACGCUGAGACACGAAAGCGUGGGUAGCAAACAGG